GCAAUAAGUUACUUGAUAAAUCAGGAUAAUUUGGGAAAGUAAGGCAACACGACGAAAUCGACGGCGUCGAACAUAUGUACGAGGAGCUGGCGCAGCAGCGCAGCCUGCAGCCGAUCGUGAAGAUGAACAGCUCUUACUAUUAGAAAUCCUUGAGGGAC